rnacentral:rRNA from 1 species
GACGAAGGGGGCUAGCGUUGUUCGGAAUUACUGGGCGUAAAGCGCGUGUAGGCGGUUAUCCAAGUCGGGUGUGAAAGCCUUGAGCUCAACUCCAGAACUGCCUUCGAUACUGGAAAUCUUGAGUCCGGAAGAGGUGAGUGGAACUCCUAGUGUAGAGGUGGAAUUCGUAGAUAUUAGGAAGAACACCAGUGGCGAAGGCGGCUCACUGGUCCGGUACUGACGCUGAGGUGCGAAAGCGUGGGGAGCAAACAGGG